CUUAUCAGAAAAACAGAAAGUAUAAGUGAUUGAUUGCUGACUCACUUUUAAACCAAGCUAGGCUACAUGAUAACCCAAUAGUAUUCUUGAACUAUUUAUUAAUGCAAGAAAGCUUUCAGCUUAUAGGCAUGCAUGCACACACACAUUGUGGUGUGUUGAAAAGUGAAUUGUGUUUGGCCUUAGGAGUUAAUCUAGCCCAGUUUAUAAACAAUCCUCUUUAGCUACUUAAAAAUGUCUUUCACUCCCUUCUUCCUCCUGUAUUAGCGUAGGAAAAGUUGCCUCUCUUGAGCCCCUAGUCUUCACCAUGUGGGUGUUACUAUUAGUGUCAUCUCUACAGCUUCCAUACACAUGUUCUAUUUGAUCAAAGGCAGCACUAGCCACAGAAAAGAACUCUUGAAUAUUAGGUGCUGGCAAGAGGCAUCUAUUACUGGAUCCUUAGGACUCUGUCUUUCUACUUUCAGAGCCAUCAUAUGUCAGAGUUGGUGAAAACUGAGAACCAAAGUGAAGCAAUUUGUCUUCUGAGUUUUUCAUGCGGUCAGGAGAAAGGCUGGGACCACAUGGCCUGACUCUCAGGCCAGAAUUUUGUGCACAACUUGAUCCUGUGGUGUCAGUUCUGCAAGCAGGAAGCUCAGGACAGCAUCUUGGAAGCAUAGAGACAAGGAACUCAGGCUGUGAUGAGAAAGACAAAAGAAAUGCACAAUAAAGGGAUGGUGGUUAAGUUCUAGGAAGAGAGCCAAUGAAUGACUAUUGAGAGAUGAAAUCAGGAAUGAUGAUAAAGACUUUGCCCUAAGAGGUAUGGUUAUGAGUUGUUGCAUCUAGAUAUUCACCUCUGCUUUCCAAUUACUAAGAGUUUAUGUACAUCAUUCUCCUCCAUCUUGGCCUCUGUGUUCCUAGUCUUUUUUAUUUAUAAUUUUUUUUUUCUUUUUAGUGAAUGGGUCUUGCUAUGUUGCCCAGGCUGGUCUCGAACUCUUGGGCUCAAGGAAUCCUCCCUCCUCAGCCUCUCGAAUUGCUGGGAUUACAGGGGUGGGCCACCACACUAGGUCCUAGUCUUUUAAAUGGGGAUCUGAUGCACUGCUGAAAAUGAGGUCAGAUAGCUAAGGGUAGCAAAGAUCCUAAAAAGCACAUCCCAGCCCAUGUGCAGAG
rnacentral:lncRNA from 1 species